GGUGGGCACGGUGGCACGUGCCUAUAGUCCCAGCUAUUUGGGAGGCUGAGGCUGGAGGAUCUCUUGAGCCCAGGAGUUCUGGGCUAUAGUGUGCUAUGCCAAUCAGGUGUCCGCACUAAGUUUGGCAUCAAUAUGGUGACCUCCUGCAAGCGGGGGACCACCAGGUCGCCCAAGGAGGGGUGAACCAGCCCAGGUCAGAAACAGAGCAGGUCAAAACUCCCGUGCUGAUCAGUAGUGGGAUCACACCUGUGAAUAGCCACUGCACUCCAGCCUGGGCAACAAGACCCUGUCUCUU
ensembl:misc_RNA Metazoa_SRP Metazoan signal recognition particle RNA